AUUGAACGCUGGCGGCAUGCUUUACACAUGCAAGUCGAACGGUAACAGGGUGCUUGCACCGCUGACGAGUGGCGAACGGGUGAGUAAUGCAUCGGAAUGUACCGUGUAAUGGGGGAUAGCUCGGCGAAAGCCGGAUUAAUACCGCAUACGCCCUGAGGGGGAAAGUGGGGGACCGAAAGGCCUCACGUUAUACGAGCAGCCGAUGUCUGAUUAGCUAGUUGGUGAGGUAAAGGCUCACCAAGGCGUCGAUCAGUAGCGGGUCUGAGAGGAUGAUCCGCCACACUGGGACUGAGACACGGCCCAGACUCCUACGGGAGGCAGCAGUGGGGAAUUUUGGACAAUGGGCGCAAGCCUGAUCCAGCCAUGCCGCGUGUCUGAAGAAGGCCUUCGGGUUGUAAAGGACUUUUGUCCGGGAGCAAAUGCUAGUGGUUAAUAACCGCUGGGUCUGAGAGUACCGGAAGAAUAAGCACCGGCUAACUACGUG
rnacentral:rRNA from 1 species